rnacentral:rRNA from 1 species
GGUUGCGAUCAUUCCAGCACUACAGCACCGAAUUCC